UGCUCCCCAUCUCUAAUAACACAAUUAAUUACAUUUUAGGGAGUAAUGCAAUAUUGCAUUACUUUUACAAGAAACUUUCUCCAACACUGUUAAUAAUAUACAUAUUCCAUGUUCAUGCAGUUUUGUUCAUUACGGUUACAAUCUAUGAUGUCAUAUCCUGUUCACCAACAGCUAGAGUUUGAAUCAUUUCAAAGGCUGGGACUCACUGUGCGCUCCACCAAAACUCAACAUGUCUAGAGCCAUUAUUUCAUUGAUUCUGUUACUGCACUGGAGCCAAGGCACUAUUGGUGGCGAUGAUGUUAUUCAAGAGCCUAAAAUUCUGUGGGAACAAAAGGGGAGUUCUGCUUAUAUGAACUGCACUCACAAUAGGGGCCUUUUAUACAGACAGAUGUACUGGUACCGCCAGCGUCCAGGAGAGACUAUGAGACUCAUAGUAUUCACUGUUGCUGGUUCAGACCCAGACUUUGGAGACGUUAAGAAAGAUAAAUUUGAACCUGAUAAAAGUGUUGCUGAAAGUGGAUCUCUAACAGUGAAAGAUCUAGAGCCAGAAGACAGUGCCAUAUAUUUCUGUUCAGUGAGUCAACACAGUGUGUCAAAGGCUGGAGAGUGCUGUACAAAAACAUACUGUACAUGAAAGAUCAGUGACAGCA